AGAGUUUGAUCCUGGCUCAGGACGAACGCUGGCGGCGUGCUUAACACAUGCAAGUCAAGGGAAAAUCUGCUUUCGGGCGGAUGGAUACUGGCGAACGGGUGAGUAACGCGUAGAUAAUCUGCCUCUAACUCUGACAUAACAUCGAGAAAUCGUUGCUAAUAUCAGAUAUUGCCGCAAGGUGAAAGGUUUACCGGUUAGAGAUGAGUCUGCGUCUGAUUAGCUAGUUAGUAGGGUAAUGGCCUACCAAGGCAACGAUCAGUAGCUGGUUUGAGAGGAUGAUCAGCCACACUGGAACUGAGACACGGUCCAGACUCCUACGGGAGGCAGCAGUGAGGAAUCUUGCACAAUGGGGGAAACCCUGAUGCAGCGACGCCGUGUGUGGGAUGACAGGGCUUUGCCCCGUAAACCACUGUCAGAUGGGAAGAAAAGAACCCUUAGGGUUCCGGGACUGUACCAUCAGAGGAAGGACCGGCUAACUACGUGCCAGCAGCCGCGGUAAUACGUAGGGUCCAAGCGUUGUCCGGAUUUACUGGGUGUAAAGGGUGCGCAGGCGGGCUUGUGCGCCUGGGGUUAAAGACUUCGGCUCAACCGAAGAAAUGCCUCGGAUACGGCAAGCCUUGAGUACGAGAGAGGAUGGUAGAAUUCCUGGUGUAGCGGUGAAAUGCGUAGAUAUCAGGAGGAAUACCGGUGGCGAAGGCGGCCAUCUGGCUCGUUACUGACGCUCAGGCACGAAAGCAUGGGGAGCAAACAGGAUUAGAUACCCUGGUAGUCCACGCCCUAAACGAUGUAUGCUUGGUGUUGGAUAUGUAUUUAUUCAGUGCCGGAGAAAACUCGUUAAGCAUACCACCUGGGGAGUACGAUCGCAAGGUUGAAACUCAAAGGAAUUGACGGGGGCCCGCACAAGCGGUGGAUUAUGUGGUUUAAUUCGAUGCAACGCGAAGAACCUUACCCGGGCUUGAAGCGCUAGCGACCGCUGCCGAAAGGUAGCUUUCCUUCGGGACGCUAGUAGAGGUGCUGCACGGCUGUCGUCAGCUCGUGCCGUGAGGUGUUGGGUUAAGUCCCGCAACGAGCGCAACCCCUAUCUGUAGUUGUCAUCAGUUCGGCUGGACCCUCUACAGAGACUGCCCACGCAAGUGGUGAGGAAGGUGGGGACGACGUCAAGUCAUCAUGGCCCUUAUGUCCGGGGCUACACACGUAAUACAAUGGAUGGUACAACAGGCGAAGCCGCGAGGUGGAGACAAUCUCUAAAGCCAUCCCUAGUUCGGAUUGAAGUCUGCAACUCGACUUCAUGAAGCUGGAAUCGCUAGUAAUCGCAGAUCAGCGUGCUGCGGUGAAUACGUUCCCGGGCCUUGUACACACCGCCCGUCAAGCCAUGGAAGCUGGGAGCGCCCGAAGUCGGUAGCAAUAUCGCCUAAGGCGAAUUCGGUAACUAGGGCUAAGUCGUAACAAGGUA
rnacentral:rRNA from 1 species